rnacentral:rRNA from 1 species
CGCUGGCGGCUUGCUUAACACGUGCGAGUCGAGCGAGGAGGCCGAGCUUGCUAGGUGGAUUAGUGGCGAACGGGUGAGUAAUACGUGAGUAACCUACCUUUAACUCUGGGAUAAGCCUGGGAAACUGGGCCUAAUACCGGAUACGACCAAUCUCCGCAUGGGGUGUUGGUGGAAAGCGUUAUGUAGUGGUUAUAGAUGGGCUCACGGCCUAUCAGCUUGUUGGUGAGGUAAAGGCUCACCAAGGCGACGACGGGUAGCCGGCCUGAGAGGGUGACCGGCCACACUGGGACUGAGACACGGCCCAGACUCCUACGGGAGGCAGCAGUGGGGAAUAUUGCACAAUGGGCGCAAGCCUGAUGCAGCGACGCCGCGUGAGGGAUGACGGCCUUCGGGUUGUAAACCUCUGUUAGCAGGGAAGAAGAGAGAUUGACGGUACCUGCAGAGAAAGCGCCGGCUAACUACGUGCCAGCAGCCGCGGUAAUACGUAGGGCGCGAGCGUUGUCCGGAAUUAUUGGGCGUAAAGAGCUUGUAGGGCGGUUUGUCGCGUCUGCUGUGAAAGGCCGGAGCUUAACUCCGUGUAUUGCAGUGGGUACGGGCAGACUAGAGUGCAGUAGGGGAGACUGGAAUUCCUGGUGUAGCGGUGGAAUGCGCAGAUAUCAGGAGGAACACCGAUGGCGAAGGCAGGUCUCUGGGCUGUAACUGACGCUGAGAAGCGAAAGCAUGGGGAGCGAACAGGAUUAGAUACCCUGGUAGUCCAUGCCGUAAACGUUGGGCACUAGGUGUGGGGAACAUUCCACGUUUUCCGCGCCGUAGCUAACGCAUUAAGUGCCCCGCCUGGGGAGUACGGCCGCAAGGCUAAAACUCAAAGAAAUUGACGGGGGCCCGCACAAGCGGCGGAGCAUGCGGAUUAAUUCGAUGCAACGCGAAGAACCUUACCAAGGCUUGACAUAUACUGGAUCGCAUCAGAGAUGGUGUUUCCCUUCGGGGCUGGUAUACAGGUGGUGCAUGGUUGUCGUCAGCUCGUGUCGUGAGAUGUUGGGUUAAGUCCCGCAACGAGCGCAACCCUCGUUCUAUGUUGCCAGCACGUUAUGGUGGGGACUCAUAGGAGACUGCCGGGGUCAACUCGGAGGAAGGUGGGGAUGACGUCAAAUCAUCAUGCCCCUUAUGUCUUGGGCUUCACGCAUGCUACAAUGGCCGGUACAGAGGGUUGCGAUACUGUGAGGUGGAGCUAAUCCCUAAAAGCCGGUCUCAGUUCGGAUUGGGGUCUGCAACUCGACCCCAUGAAGUCGGAGUCGCUAGUAAUCGCAGAUCAGCAACGCUGCGGUGAAUACGUUCCCGGGCCU